UCCGUUAUGAUCUGAAUUCCAAGGAUCGUAUGUUUGAGAAAGAUGCGAUCGAUUUGUCUUCUUUUACAAAUCGAUGAAAGGAAAUAACAUCAAGAAUCAAAAACGGCUGUUUCCAAGGAAAGGAGUGAUACAGAUCAAGAUGUUGAUUUCGAUUUCAGGGCAUCUUACUAUGGAUUCAUGCAUUGUUGCCAUAGAACCAUCAAGGAAGUUUUCAUUGUUUGAUGUUAUGGAUCCAGAAAGGUUUUGAUUGGAUUUUCAAACUUUGGUUUACAUUUUGACUGGUUUUUAUUGCCUCAUUAUGCAGAUAUUGGGGAUUUGAUCUUCGCAGGAUUUGGUUAUUUUCGAAGUUCUGUAUUUGGAACAGAGGUCUUCACACUCUGUAUUUGCCAGAAACGGCCAAAGCCGCAGGUCUCAACUAUCUGCAAAAGUCUGUGCUUCUUCCUCGAUCAUCAGUUAUGAUGAACUUUUUUUUUCAGUCCGUGGUUUAAGUAACAGAGCUACUGAAACUACGUUACGGAAACAUUCAGAGUUCACUACUGGAACAAGAAAGGUACACAUUUAAUUGCUAGAAGUCAUAAAGAUUGGGUUUCUUUGAUACAAAGUCAAAAUCCAUGAGCUUUAGUUUGGAUCUCGCUAUUUUUGGGAAAGAAUGAUGUAGAUUUGACGAUGUAUCAGGAUUGUACUCUGGUAAAACACAAAUGGUGUUUAAAUGUUUCAAUACGAGUCUGGGUUCUCUAAAGGAAUCAUACAAGGUCGGUUAUGGUUAUGGGUUGUUGUUUUAGAAUGGAACAUAUGUAUAUUGUAGUUGCUCGGAAUAAUAUAGUUCUGGA